AUUGAACGCUGGCGGCAUGCCUUACACAUGCAAGUCGAACGGCAGCACGGGUGCUUGCACCUGGUGGCGAGUGGCGAACGGGUGAGUAAUACAUCGGAACAUGUCCUGUAGUUGGGGAUAGCCCGGCGAAAGCCGGAUUAAUACCGCAUACGAUCUACGGAUGAAAGCGGGGGCCCUUCGGGCCUCGCGCUAUAGGGUUGUCCGAUGGCUGAUUAGCUAGUUGGUGGGGUAAAGGCCUACCAAGGCGACGAUCAGUAGCUGGUCUGAGAGGACGACCAGCCACACUGGGACUGAGACACGGCCAAGACUCCUACGGGAGGCAGCAGUGGGGAAUUUUGGACAAUGGGCGAAAGCCUGAUCCAGCAAUGCCGCGUGUGUGAAGAAGGCCUUCGGGUUGUAAAGCACUUUUGUCCGGAAAGAAAUCCUUGGCCCUAAUACGGUCGGGGGAUGACGGUACCGGAAGAAUAAGCACCGGCUAACUACGUG
rnacentral:rRNA from 1 species